rnacentral:lncRNA from 1 species
GGACAGCAAGAAGAUGGUCGUCUAUCAGCCAGGAAGUGCACUCUCACCGGACAUCAAGUCUUCCUUGGUCCUGGACUUCCCAGCCUCUGCAACUGUGAAGACAACACUAAUUUUGUGGGACCCUUGUAGAAGAUUCAUAAUCACACCAACAUGGAAGAUAAGAUUUUAUAUCACUAUAAAUCCCCAAGGCUAGGGAUUAUCGCCAUUUUGCUCACCACUGAAUUCCCAGAGCCCAGCACAGUGCCAGGAACAAUGUGUAUGGGCAUGUUUACCUGCUAAGAAGACAGAACUAUUUUUAUCAUACCCUUUCCUAGCCAAGGAGAACUGGGAGUGAUAAGUACGCAUGGAGAUCCUUGGAAGGAAGUCACUAUGUAUGUGCAGCCCACACUUGAGGACUGAGGAGUUAUUCUUUCCCUCCUUGAGGGUGGAGAACCUCCAUUAAUUAUUUGGAAUUCAUCUGCAUGGGAGACUUGAGUCUUAUUUCCAGUUUAUUAAUGUAUUCAAUCAUUUUAUGUAUAAGUGCAUGGAUUCAUGGAUAUUUAUUUUAUAUUUUGGGUUUUAACUCAAUACUACUUUAUUUUGUUCCUUAAAUUGUUCCAGCUUGGUCCACUGAGAGCUUUUUCAGUUACAUGCUGUGCUCCUUUGGCAUAUCCCACCAUUGUAUUUCUUUAGAGCAUUUCCUUACUUUCUGACACUACAAGAUGCACCAGGCUCAUGCUGUACAUGUGCUUUUCAUUUGUAGAAAACAUCCAGUCACUGGUGGUCAUCCCUUUAAAGAGAUCUGCCCUCAACCUUUGAGCCUUAGAGGGCAUGUAGUUUAAAACCCCAGGCAGAAGGGCACCUCACGUGAGCAGAGUCUGUGUCCUCCCUGCUAGUGGCCUAGGCUCCAGGAGACAGACAUAGUGCACGGAUGUGAGAGGAAGCCACAUACAAGCAGGCAACUGGACAGAAGAAUAUCAGAAGUGGUUGCAGCUGGGGACCAGCCUUUUUCCUGAGACCAAGUGCUACAUUUUAAGAAUCAAUGAACUGAUCAUUCACAGCUGAAAGCAAACAGCCAGCCAACCUGAUCCAUCUGCUGGCAGAACAUUUGAGUUGAGGCAGCCGGUUUUUAAAAGACAUUUGGGGUAAUCUUCGGUUUAGACAAAAGCGAGAAAUGCGGAGGGAGAGCAGAGAGGAA